GUACACUCCUACGGGAGGCAGCAGUGGGGAAUAUUGGACAAUGGGCGCAAGCCUGAUCCAGCCAUGCCGCGUGAGUGAUGAAGGCCCUAGGGUUGUAAAGCUCUUUCACCGGUGAAGAUAAUGACGGUAACCGGAGAAGAAGCCCCGGCUAACUUCGUGCCAGCAGCCGCGGUAAUACGAAGGGGGCUAGCGUUGUUCGGCUUUACUGGGCGUAAAGCGCACGUAGGCGGACUAUUAAGUCAGGGGUGAAAUCCCGGGGCUCAACCCCGGAACUGCCUUUGAUACUGGUAGUCUUGAGUGCGAGAGAGGUGAGUGGAAUUCCGAGUGUAGAGGUGAAAUUCGUAGAUAUUCGGAGGAACACCAGUGGCGAAGGCGGCUCACUGGCUCGAUACUGACGCUGAGGUGCGAAAGCGUGGGGAGCAAACAGGAUUAGAUACCCCGGUAGUCCC
rnacentral:rRNA from 1 species